rnacentral:tRNA from 1 species
CUGGGGAGGCAGGAUUCGAACCUGCAGUCUUCAGAUCCAAAGUCUGACGUGCUACCCUUACACCACUCCCCA